GUCUUCUUGUUAUAUUUAGGAAGUCUGGCCUGCCCAGUGAAAAUAAUUUAACGGCCGCGGUAUACUGACCGUGCAAAGGUAGCAUAAUCAUUAGUCUUUUAAUAGAGGGCUGGUAUGAAGGGUUUAACGAGGUGUUGACUGUCUCAUUUAAUUUGAAUUUAGAACUUAAUUUUUUAGUUAAAAAGCUAAAAUUUUAUUGGAAGACGAGAAGACCCUAUAGAGCUUUAUAUUUUUACUAUUAAUUUAUUAUAGAUUAUUAUUAUUUAUUAUUGGUAUAAAAUAUUUUGUUGGGGUGACAAAAAUAUAUAAAUAACUUUUUUAUUUCAUUUACAUUGCUAUAUGAAUAUUAGAUCCAAUCUUAUUGAUUGUUAGAUUAAGUUACCUUAGGGAUAACAGCGUAAUCCCUCUUCAGAGUUCAUAUUUACAGAGGGGCUUGCGACCUCGAUGUUGGAUUAAGAUAAUAAUUAGGUGUAGCCGCUUAAUUAAUAGGUCUGUUCGACCUUUAAAUUCUU
rnacentral:rRNA from 1 species